UGGGGAAUAUUGCACAAUGGGGGAAACCCUGAUGCAGCGACGCUGCGUGAACGAAGAAGGUAUUCGUAUCGUAAAGUUCUGUCCUAUGGGAAGAUAAUGACAGUACCAUAGAAGAAAGCUCCGGCUAAAUACGUGCCAGCAGCCGCGGUAAUACGUAUGGAGCGAGCGUUGUCCGGAAUUAUUGGGCGUAAAGGGUACGCAGGCGGUUUAAUAAGUCGAAUGUUAAAGAUCGGGGCUCAACCCCGUAAAGCAUUGGAAACUGAUAAACUUGAGUAGUGGAGAGGAAAGUGGAAUUCCUAGUGUAGUGGUGAAAUACGUAGAUAUUAGGAGGAAUACCAGUAGCGAAGGCGACUUUCUGGACACAAACUGACGCUGAGGUACGAAAGCGUGGGGAGCAAACAGG
rnacentral:rRNA from 1 species